rnacentral:rRNA from 1 species
AGAGUUUGAUCCUGGCUCAGGACGAACGCUGGCGGCGUGCCUAACACAUGCAAGUCGAACGCCUUCUCGCAAGAGAGGGAGUGGCGGACGGGUGAGUAACGCAUGGAUACCUACCCUUAAGUGAGGAAUACCAGCGAGAAAUCGCUGACAAUACCGCAUGGGCUUCGAGAGAAGCAAAGCCCUGCUUCGGGAGGGCGCUU